CCGUGGGGGGCGUGCUUACACAUGCAAGUCGAGCGGUAAGGCCCUUCGGGGUACACGAGCGGCGAACGGGUGAGUAACACGUGGGUGAUCUGCCUCGUACUCUGGGAUAAGCCUGGGAAACUGGGUCUAAUACCGGAUAUGACCACGAAUCGCAUGGUUUGUGGUGGAAAGAUUUAUCGGUGCGAGAUGGGCCCGCGGCCUAUCAGCUUGUUGGUGGGGUAAUGGCCUACCAAGGCGACGACGGGUAGCCGGCCUGAGAGGGCGACCGGCCACACUGGGACUGAGACACGGCCCAGACUCCUACGGGAGGCAGCAGUGGGGAAUAUUGCACAAUGGGCGGAAGCCUGAUGCAGCGACGCCGCGUGAGGGAUGACGGCCUUUCGGGUUGUAAACCUCUUUCGACAGGGACGAAGCGCAAGUGACGGUACCUGUAGAAGAAGCACCGGCCAACUACGUGCCAGCAGCCGCGGUAAUACGUAGGGUGCGAGCGUUGUCCGGGAAUUACUGGGCGUAAAGAGCUUGUAGGCGGUUCGUCGCGUCGAUCGUGAAAACUUGCAGCUCAACUGCGAGCUUGCGGUCGAUACGGGCGGACUAGAGUACUGCAGGGGAGACUGGAAUUCCUGGUGUAGCGGUGAAAUGCGCAGAUAUCAGGAGGAACACCGGUGGCGAAGGCGGGUCUCUGGGCAGUAACUGACGCUGAGAAGCGAAAGCGUGGGUAGCGAACAGGAUUAGAUACCCUGGUAGUCCACGCCGUAAACGGUGGGCGCUAGGUGUGGGUUUCCUUCCACGGGAUCCGUGCCGUAGCUAACGCAUUAAGCGCCCCGCCUGGGGAGUACGGCCGCAAGGCUAAAACUCAAAGGAAUUGACGGGGGCCCGCACAAGCGGCGGAGCAUGUGGAUUAAUUCGAUGCAACGCGAAGAACCUUACCUGGGUUUGACAUACACCAGAAAGCUGCAGAGAUGUAGCCCCCCUUGUGGUUGGUGUACAGGUGGUGCAUGGCUGUCGUCAGCUCGUGUCGUGAGAUGUUGGGUUAAGUCCCGCAACGAGCGCAACCCUUAUCUUAUGUUGCCAGCGCGUUAUGGCGGGGACUCGUGAGAGACUGCCGGGGUCAACUCGGAGGAAGGUGGGGACGACGUCAAGUCAUCAUGCCCCUUAUGUCCAGGGCUUCACACAUGCUACAAUGGCCGGUACAGAGGGCUGCGAUACCGUGAGGUGGAGCGAAUCCCUUAAAGCCGGUCUCAGUUCGGAUCGGGGUCUGCAACUCGACCCCGUGAAGUUGGAGUCGCUAGUAAUCGCAGAUCAGCAACGCUGCGGUGAAUACGUUCCCGGGCCUUGUACACACCGCCCGUCACGUCAUGAAAGUCGGUAACACCCGAAGCCGGUGGCCUAACCCUUGUGGAGGGAGCCGUCGAAGUGAUAGGG
rnacentral:rRNA from 1 species